GGUUGAUCCUGCCAGUAGUCAUAUGCUUGUCUCAAAGAUUAAGCCAUGCAUGUCUAAGUAUAAACAAAUUUGUACUGUGAAACUGCGAAUGGCUCAUUAAAUCAGUUAUAGUUUAUUUGAUGAUAACUUGCUACAUGGAUAACUGUGGUAAUUCUAGAGCUAAUACAUGCGUUAAAGCCCCGACUUCUGGGAGGGGUGUAUUUAUUAGAUAAAAAACCAACGCGGUUCGCCGCUCCCUUGGUGAUUCAUAAUAACUUGUCGAAUCGUAUGGCCUUGUGCCGACGAUGCUUCAU
rnacentral:rRNA from 1 species